rnacentral:rRNA from 1 species
GAGUUUGAUCCUGGCUCAGGAUGAACGCUAGCGACAGGCUUAACACAUGCAAGUCGAGGGGCAGCGGGGGAGCAGCAAUGCUCCCGCCGGCGACCGGCGCACGGGUGAGUAACACGUAUGGAACCUGCCCGCAGCAGGGGGAUAAGCGGAAGAAAUUCCGUCUAAUACCGCGUAACACCGCGGAGGGGCAUCCCUCCGCGGUUAAAGAUUCAUCGGCUGCGGAUGGCCAUGCGGCGCAUUAGCUAGUCGGCGGGGUAACGGCCCACCGAGGCGACGAUGCGUAGGGGUUCUGAGAGGAAGGUCCCCCACACUGGUACUGAGACACGGACCAGACUCCUACGGGAGGCAGCAGUGAGGAAUAUUGGUCAAUGGCCGAGAGGCUGAACCAGCCAAGUCGCGUGAGGGAGGACGGCCCUACGGGUUGUAAACCUCUUUUGUCAGGGAGCAAGGGACAGGUCGUGACCUGUUGUGAGAGUACCUGAAGAAAAAGCAUCGGCUAACUCCGUGCCAGCAGCCGCGGUAAUACGGAGGAUGCGAGCGUUNNUCCGGAUUUAUUGGGUUUUAAAGGGUUGCGCAGGNGGANGNCACAAGUCAGCGGUAAAAUCGGNGGGGCUCAACCCCGCUCCGCCGUUGAAACUGUGUCCCUUGAGUGCGCGAAGGGUAGGCGGAAUGCGUGGUGUAGCGGUGAAAUGCAUAGAUAUCACGCAGAACUCCGAUCGCGAAGGCAGCCUACCGGCGCGCGACUGACGCUCAUGCACGAAAGCGUGGGUAUCGAACAGGAUUAGAUACCCUGGUAGUCCACGCAGUAAACGAUGAAUGCUAUCUGUCCGGCCGGAAUGACGGCUGGGGUGGCACAGCGAAAGCGUUAAGCAUUCCACCUGGGGGAGUACGCCGGCAACGGUGAAACUCAAAGGAAUUGACGGGGGCCCNCACAAGCGGAAGGAACAUGUGGUUUAAUUNCGAUGAUACGCGAGGNAACCUUUNCCCGGGCUUCAAANNANCNCAGGGAUGCAUGUGAAAGCAUGCAGUCCUUCGGGACCUGCGUCGAGGUGCUGCAUGGUUGUCGUCAGCUCGUGCCGUGAGGUGUCGGCUUAAGUGCCAUAACGAGCGCAACCCCCAUCUUCAGUUGCCAUCAGGUAGAGCUGGGCACUCUGGAGAGACUGCCGGCGCAAGCUGCGAGGAAGGCGGGGAUGACGUCAAAUCAGCACGGCCCUUACGUCCGGGGCGACACACGUGUUACAAUGGCAGGUACAGCGGGAAGCCAGGCGGCGACGCCGAGCGGAACCCGAAAACCUGUCUCAGUUCGGAUCGGAGUCUGCAACCCGACUCCGUGAAGCUGGAUUCGCUAGUAAUCGCGCAUCAGCCAUGGCGCGGUGAAUACGUUCCCGGGCCUUGUACACACCGCCCGUCAAGCCAUGGAAGCCGGGGGUGCCUGAAGUGUGCAGCCGCAAGGAGCGCCCUAAGGUAAAACCGGUGACUGGGGCUAAGUCGUAAACAAGGUAACC